rnacentral:rRNA from 1 species
GACGAACGCUGGCGGCGUGCUUAACACAUGCAAGUCGAACGGAAAGGCCCUGCUUUUGUGGGGUGCUCGAGUGGCGAACGGGUGAGUAACACGUGAGUAACCUGCCCUUGACUUUGGGAUAACUUCAGGAAACUGGGGCUAAUACCGGAUAGGAGCUCCUGCUGCAUGGUGGGGGUUGGAAAGUUUCGGCGGUUGGGGAUGGACUCGCGGCUUAUCAGCUUGUUGGUGGGGUAGUGGCUUACCAAGGCUUUGACGGGUAGCCGGCCUGAGAGGGUGACCGGCCACAUUGGGACUGAGAUAGGGCCCAGACUCCUACGGGAGGCAGAAGUGGGGAGUAUUGCACAAUGGGCGGAAGCCCGAUGCAGAGACGCCGCGUGCGGGAUGACGGCCUUCGGGUUGUAAACCGCUUUCGCCUGUGACGAAGCGUGAGUGACGGUAAUGGGUAAAGAAGCACCGGCUAACUACGUG